CGUGUAGGCGGUUGGGUAAGUCAGAUGUGAAAGCCCUGGGCUCAACCCAGGAAGUGCAUUUGAAACUACCCAACUUGAGUACGGGAGAGGAAGGGGGAAUUCCCGGUGUAGAGGUGAAAUUCGUAGAUAUCGGGAGGAAUACCGGUGGCGAAGGCGCCCUUCUGGACUGAUACUGACGCUGAGACGCGAAAGCGUGGGGAGCAAACA
rnacentral:rRNA from 1 species